CAUGAAUUUAAUCCCAGCACUUGGGAGGCAGAGGCAGGGGGAUCUCUGUGAUUUCGAGGCUAGCCUGAUUUACACAGUAAGUUCCCGGACAACCAGACAGCUACACAGUGACACCCUAUCUCAAAAAACAAAAACAAAAACAAAAGACAAACAAAAAACAAGACAAUCUAAAACCAUCUGACCAACCAUCACAUCCCCCCUCCUUGAUUUCAAGACAGUAAGGACUCUCUAGAGACAGAGAAAUCUGUCUCUGCCUGAAAAUACAUGGAUACUAAAGUAGCAUAAAGCCAAGUCUCAAAAUACUAUACUCUCCCUGAACCACAGUGAUGCCUUCACAUCUGGCAAACCUGGCUCUGGAUUCUGCUCUUGUACCUGGAUGGGCCUUAUUCACCAUGGCUGCUCACCUUGGUUGUCUCAAUUUCAAGAGGCAAAAGCAUGGUCAUCAACAGACUGAAGCAAAGCACAUCCAAACAGUGGGCAAAGUCAUGAGCAAUUUCCUCACAAAUAAUUACUUCAAAAAUUGUUUUAAUUGGCAGGACACUAACAACCUUUUAACAAACCAGUCCUUUUAUUCAAUGUUUUAUGACCUUGGAAAGAAGUAAGGGCAAAGAGUGUUGCAUUUGAAGAUGCCAGAAUUACACACUGGGGUCAGUGUCCUGGAACAUGAAGGUUGUUUUCCAGCCAUGACCUUGAGGUCAAUAGACCUGUAUAACCUAUACGAGAUUCUGAGUCUACCAAAUUAUAGGUCACAGGACACUCCUGUGAAGUUAUAAUUUACAACAUGUUUGUUUCUGCUAUUCGUUGCCCUACCUUUGGAGAGCAGAGAGCGUUUUAGAGCGUUCUAAACCGGGUAUUUCUGGCUGGAAUUCUUAAGUUUCUUUAUAACCCACAUAACUUAAAUCUCCCAAGGAGUGGUGACUAGUUAGUUCUGAGCUUAGGCAAUAAAACGAACUAAUCCAUUGUCAGAACUACAACCUUAUACCAUGUAGGGGACCAGGAAGCAAUCUUUAUUUCAAAAGGGGAUGGGAAAACUUUCAGGAUGAGGACAUCCUCUGUAACCUUUUCCUAUAUUCUAAAACAGGCACAUUCAAAAAAAAAAGUAACGAGGAAAUGAAGGUUCAUUUCCUGAACAUCUAUUGAGUUCCAGUCACAUGCUUAUAUCUUAGCUAAUAUGAUUCUCCUUACUGGGUAAGAACUUGUAACCAGAAUACCUGAAUUAGUACUGCCUGUCGCCACUAGCCCCGAUGAGCUGACAGGAAAUGCAUCUUUGUUGUGCUUUACACACAAUUCCAACCCGUCCUCCAGUCUCUCUCACUCUGCUAUUAUUUCUCGUUCCAGAGCACUCGGCUUGAGGAGACCUAGGGUUUGUUCAAGGUGACACACUGCAGCAAAUAUGAGUUAAGAAUUCGAAUCCAAAGUAACAUCCUCCCCGCUGCGCCAUAGCCGGGGCUCCUAAAACGGAGGUCCGGCGCCGGGAAACUAAUGACCCAUGGCUCUCCCUCAGCGCAGUGCCACAGCUGGGAACGCAAGCCUAUCCUCGUGACUCCCGAAUCUUUCCGUUUUCACACAAGUGCGUGACUGCGGGAGCGAGGUGGCCACGUGAGAUCCCUCCACCCUCUCCGGGCGAGGUACAGAUCGGGUCCGGCCAAGGGCAAGUCUCAGCACACCCGCUCUUCCGCGUCGCCACCGAGCUGACCCGGGCCCGCGUGGGAGAAACUCGGAACGACCUUGGUGGCGGCCUCAGUCCCCGCGUGUCUGGGCGAGACUCCCCCACAGUCCCCGCCCGCAGCCACCCGGCGUGGCCAGCGCAGACAGGAUAACCCGGGCGAGGCUGCAGGGAGGCGGCCAGCCAGUCCCACGUGGACCAGCUCCUCGUUGGGGGCGGGGCCCCGGGGACGUCCAGGCCAAUCAGCGCCGCUGCCCAGCUCACCCGGCUAGGCGCGCCCGACCAGCCUGUGGUUGCGUCACAUCGGAGGCGGGACCUCGGGCGGGCGCGAGGCUCGGCAGGUCACGUGGGGCGCAGAACCGGCUAUAAAUAGGAGCCGGCGGCAUGCUCUCUAUAUGAUGGCCGCCGGCGCGCGUUGCGUGUUUUCACCUCUCGCCUGCUGAGGCGCCCGCGGCUGCUUCACGAGUGGGUAGAGAGUCCCUCCGUGCUGUGCCCGGUGUUGCCGUCCUGGGUUGUGCGACCGUGGCUCGAGCCUGCCUCAGUCUCGUUCUUCUGGUCUCUCUGUUCGGCCCUCAGUUUCCUUUGGAUGAACUUGCGUCCUUUCUCUAAUCCGCCAUGGAAUUCUGCUCCGUGCUUUUAGCCCUCCAGAGCCAAAGAAACCCCAGACAACAGACGCCCAGACGCAGCAGCGUAUAGCAGUAACUCCCCAGCUCGGUUUCCGUGCCGUAGUUUACAGUAUUUAAUUUUAUAUAAUAUAUACUAUUUAUUAUAGCAUUUUGAUACCUCAUUCCGUUUACACAUCUCAAAAGCCGCUUAGUAAUUCUCUUAUUAUUUAAAGAACCACUACACUAGAGAAUGGAAUCUACUGUGGCAACGAUUACUAGUACCCUAGCUGCUGUUACUGCUUCCGCUCCACCGAAGUAUGACAAUCUAUGGAUGCUCAUCCUGGGCUUCAUCAUUGCAUUUGUCUUGGCAUUCUCCGUGGGAGCCAAUGAUGUAGCAAAUUCGUUCGGUACAGCUGUAGGCUCAGGUGUAGUGACCCUGAAGCAAGCCUGCAUCUUAGCUAGCAUCUUCGAAACUGUGGGCUCCGCCUUGCUGGGGGCCAAAGUGAGCGAAACCAUCCGGAACGGCUUGAUAGAUGUGGAGCUGUACAACGAAACUCAAGAUCUGCUCAUGGCUGGCUCCGUCAGUGCUAUGUUUGGUUCUGCUGUGUGGCAGCUCGUGGCUUCGUUUUUGAAGCUUCCGAUUUCUGGGACCCAUUGUAUUGUCGGUGCAACCAUUGGUUUCUCCCUUGUGGCAAAUGGGCAGAAGGGUGUCAAGUGGUCUGAACUGAUAAAAAUUGUGAUGUCGUGGUUCGUCUCUCCGCUGCUUUCUGGUAUUAUGUCUGGAAUUUUAUUCUUCCUUGUUCGUGCGUUCAUCCUCCGUAAGGCAGAUCCGGUUCCUAAUGGCUUACGAGCUUUACCAAUUUUUUAUGCCUGCACAAUCGGAAUCAACCUCUUUUCCAUUAUGUAUACUGGAGCACCGUGGCUGAAAUCUCCUAGAAGGUGGCUGGCCUGCAUCCAUUUCAGAAGGCUGCAGGCUAGUGUAUGCUGAGUUAACCUAGAUAGGUUUUCAACCAGAGAGACCUGCUCACAUUCUAAAUCACUCCAGACCUUUCCUCCUUAGUCUUCACAGGAUCCACUGAUAAUAUGACCUUCUCCCUCCCUUUCUUGUGUCUAUGCUAACAAUGCUGGAAAUGAUGCUGGCCUCAACUACUGAAGAGUCAUUAGUUAAAUCUGCUCUUCAGUAAUCAGCCACUUAGAGCCGCUUGUUAGAUGUCAUUUUUCUCUCCCAGUUGGAGCCAUUUCGUUUUCUAAAGUUCUCAGUUUGCCCCCCUAAACUGACUUGAACGAGAAGAGUUGGGAUGUGUAACUCCUGGUCUAAUUAAUUACACUUGGAAGAAGAAUGUCCGCAGCUAGGAGAAAGCACUUGAGAGGAAUAUAAAGGCUCUGGUGUUGAUUGCUUUCAUAUGGGGACUAAGGGAAGGCAAGGAUUCAGUUGUCUACUGAGAGAUGGAUAGAUUGGAGCUCGUGAGGCAGAGCAGCACGGUUGUGGCAUCUGGGCUCAUGUGACUUGCUGGGUCUUAACUACGCAGGACCCGAGGCGUCCCUACACUCAUUCCUCUGACUGCUGCCCAGGGCACACUGUGUCUGUGUAAACAGGACUGAAGUAGCAAAGUGAUUGUCCUUAUGUUAUGUGUGCUCUCAUCCUCAAUUCUUAAAGGAUUUUCAUGCUUGUGACCGCCAAGUAGGUCCCGCCUCUGGUUCAUGGAUUGUGACCUGUGUAUUAUUACCACUGAAAUGAUGUAGUAAGUCACCGAACAAAACAAAACAGCAGGGUAUUUCUCACAUUGUCGUUCUUGAAAUGUCAUUAAAGAAACACAGGAUGGGACCAGCCUUGGUGUGGGGGAGGGGGGGCCUUGCUUCUUUUUUUUUUUUUUUUUUUUUUGCCCUAUAAGAUUGUUUCUAAGAAAACCCAGUCCUUUCGUUCCCCCUUUUGACUUGGAAUGUAGACAAACUUAAACUGAUAAACACUAAUUAGACCUCAUGGAUAUUUUACUUUGUGGACAUAACUGCCUAGUCACAGUUGAAAGCAGAACUUAAAAUGAAAAGACCGGCAGAUAGAAAGAACUUCAGGACUGAAGGAUUUCAGCUUAUGUCUGAUUGAUUCUUAAAGGCUACUUCUUAGUAUAUUCUGUCUCUUUUACGGUGCUAGGGAUUGAAUCUAAGGCUUUGUGCAAGCUAGGCUGAGCUGCGGUCCCGACAUAAAUAGUUUUGACAGUACAGUAAUGUUCCCAUUUUAUAAGUGACUUACUAUGCAGUAAGCAAAAUCAAGUGAGACAAGCACAAGUGACUUUGCUGGGGGAAGGGACAUUCAGACAGUGGCCUGGGAUUCAGUGCUGUGAAUGGUCUCCACUCUAGGAUACGCCAGCAGUCCCUGUUGCCUGUGUGCAAGCUGACACUUGCCAGUACUGCUGAUCCUGAGGUCAUUGAGCCAAGGGGAAAGAACUGGAGGACAGGUCUCUCUGCCUUGUUACUGAACUACCACUAAACUUGUCCUGUGUGAAAGGCAACAUUUAAGCAAGUGUCUUCCCGUAGUUAAUAACCCUAUUUUCUGUUAGCUUGAUGAUGCUUUUGUGGAGAGAUGCAGUUCCCCCAAGAGCUGCCUGGUACAGUCAGUGUAGUAACUUUCCUUUACAGUGUGUGGUGUCUGCGUGACACUGACUUGAGACACUCCCUUUAUUAAAAUAAGUCAUAUGUAAAUGUAAUGUGGGGCAGUUAGGAUGAGGAGCUGAGUGCAGAAAAGGAUGCUGUGAUUGGUUUUAUAGUUAUAGGUCCUUACUGUAGCGAUUCUUGAAGAAAGUUAGCACAUGAGUCCAGCAAGUGUUUCAGUGGCUUUGGUUGCUGUGGGUUUAAGAUGUUCAUUCACGUUUUCUCCAUGGUCUGCAUAGCCAGUAGCCUGAUGAAACUCUGGAAUGGCAGCAGCUGAAACGGGUGACGGUGACGGGCUGGCUUGGGGAAGCCCUCCUUCCCCUCAGGAGGGUUUACACAUUGUUGCAGGGGGCUGUUGCCCUGGGGUUUUCAAGAUGCACCAUUUUAUCUCGUAGUGCUGGGCUUUGACAAACUUCCUCUGUGGGGUACCAUCCUCAUCUCGGUGGGAUGUGCAGUUUUCUGUGCCCUUAUCGUCUGGUUCUUUGUAUGUCCCAGGAUGAAGAGAAAAAUUGAACGAGAAGUAAAGUCUAGUCCGUCUGAAAGUCCCUUAAUGGAAAAGAAGAGCAACUUAAAAGAAGACCAUGAAGAAACAAAGAUGGCUCCUGGAGACGUUGAGCAUAGGAAUCCUGUGUCUGAGGUAGUGUGUGCCACUGGGCCACUCCGGGCUGUGGUGGAGGAGAGGACGGUGUCAUUCAAACUUGGUGACCUGGAGGAGGCUCCGGAGCGAGAGCGGCUUCCCAUGGACCUGAAGGAGGAGACCAGCAUAGACAGCACCAUCAAUGGUGCAGUGCAGUUGCCUAAUGGGAACCUUGUUCAGUUCAGUCAAACUGUCAGCAACCAGAUCAACUCCAGUGGCCACUAUCAGUAUCACACCGUGCACAAGGAUUCUGGCUUGUACAAGGAGCUGCUCCAUAAGUUACAUCUGGCCAAGGUGGGAGACUGCAUGGGAGAUUCUGGGGACAAGCCCUUGAGACGCAACAACAGCUACACUUCCUACACUAUGGCAAUAUGUGGCAUGCCCCUGGAUUCAUUCCGUGCCAAAGAAGGUGAACAAAAGGGAGAUGAAAUGGAGACGCUGACAUGGCCUAAUGCAGAUACCAAGAAGCGGAUUCGAAUGGACAGUUACACCAGUUACUGCAAUGCCGUGUCUGACCUUCACUCCGAGUCUGAGAUGGACAUGAGUGUGAAGGCUGAGAUGGGCCUGGGUGACAGAAAAGGAAGCAGUGGCUCUCUUGAAGAAUGGUAUGACCAGGAUAAGCCUGAAGUGUCCCUUCUCUUCCAGUUCCUGCAGAUCCUUACAGCCUGCUUUGGGUCAUUUGCCCAUGGUGGCAAUGACGUCAGCAAUGCCAUCGGCCCUCUGGUUGCUUUGUAUCUUGUUUAUAAACAAGAAGCCUCUACAAAAGCGGCAACACCCAUAUGGCUUCUGCUUUAUGGUGGUGUUGGCAUUUGCAUGGGCCUGUGGGUUUGGGGAAGAAGAGUUAUCCAGACCAUGGGGAAGGACCUGACCCCAAUCACACCCUCCAGUGGUUUCAGUAUUGAACUGGCGUCUGCCUUAACUGUGGUCAUCGCAUCAAACAUUGGCCUUCCCAUCAGCACAACACAUUGCAAAGUGGGCUCUGUUGUGUCUGUUGGCUGGCUCCGAUCAAAGAAGGCUGUUGACUGGCGACUGUUUCGAAACAUUUUUAUGGCCUGGUUUGUCACGGUCCCCAUCUCUGGGGUUAUCAGUGCCGCUAUCAUGGCAGUAUUCAAGUACAUCAUCCUGCCAGUGUGACGCUGGGGUUGAAAGCUGUGUCAGUGUCUGGGACCAUUGUACACAUUCCUGUUCCUAGGAGAACGCUCACAGUGUUGCUGAAGACAGGCAAGGGUCUUAAAGGAGCCGUGGGAAGGAAGUGUAAUUUACACUAUAAUUGCUUUUGUGCUAAAUAUGACUUAUCUCAAAAUUAGCUAUGUAAAAUAGCCAGGUUUCCAUUGAUUCAUUCCAAGGUCCCUUUUCUCCUGGGCUAUGAAUUCCUGUACAUAUUUCUCUACUUUUGUAUCAGGCCUCAAUUCCAGUAUGUUUUAAUGUUGUCUGUGAGAUAACUUAGGUGGGUUCUUUUUAAACAGCCAGGCAGAGCCAUUUGAUGGCAUGUACUGCUUUGUCGGCCUCACCAGCUUCUUCCCCAACAUGCACAGGGAUUUAACAACAUGUAACUGAAGCUUCCCUCCCUCAUAGUCUCUCAUAGAAAUAGUCACGGCACUCUGCUCCCUGUCACUAGUGGCAGGUUCUGUUGAUGUGUGACAACUUCUUAGAGGGCCGAGAAUCUUUGGCACAGUGGAAAUAUAAGUUUGUAGUAACCUCUUUGCAAACAGUUCACGGACAUGUUGCUAAGAAGCAGGGAGACAAAGCCCCCUGGCGGUUGUGGUUAUUCUUCUGAGAUUUCUGGCAGUGUGGGAUGGGUGAAUGAAGUGGAAUGUGAACUUUGGGCAAAUUCAAUGGGACAGCCUUCCAUGUUCAUCUGUCUACCUCUUAACUGAAUAAAAAGCCUACAGUUUUUAGAAAAA